rnacentral:rRNA from 1 species
AGUGAACGCUGGCGGUAGGCCUAACACAUGCAAGUCGAACGGCAGCACAGUAAGAGCUUGCUCUUACGGGUGGCGAGUGUCGGACGGGUGAGGAAUACAUCGGAAUCUACUUUUUCGUGGGGGAUAACGUAGGGAAACUUACGCUAAUACCGCAUACGACCUACGGGUGAAAGCAGGGGAUCUUCGGACCUUGCGCGAUUGUAUGAGCCGAUGUCGGCUUAGCUAGUUGGCGGGGUAAAGGCCCACCAAGGCGACGAUCCGUAGCUGGUCUGAGAGGAUGAUCAGACACACUGGAACUGAGACACGGUCCAGACUCCUACGGGAGGCAGCAGUGGGGAAUAUUGGACAAUGGGCGCAAGCGUGAUCCAGCCAUACCGCGUGGGUGAAGAAGGCCUUCGGGUUGGAAAGCCCUGUUGUUGGGAAAGAAAAGCAGCAGGUUAAUACCCCGCUGUUAUGACGGUACCCAAAGAAUAAGCACCGGCUAACUUCGUG